UACGUAGGGCGCAAGCGUUGUCCGGAAUUAUUGGGCGUAAAGAGCUCGUAGGCGGCUUGUCACGUCGGGUGUGAAAGCCCGGGGCUUAACCCCGGGUCUGCAUUCGAUACGGGCUAGCUAGAGUGUGGUAGGGGAGAUCGGAAUUCCUGGUGUAGCGGUGAAAUGCGCAGAUAUCAGGAGGAACACCGGUGGCGAAGGCGGAUCUCUGGGCCAUUACUGACGCUGAGGAGCGAAAGCAUGGGGGAGCAAACAGG
rnacentral:rRNA from 1 species